rnacentral:rRNA from 1 species
GUCGAGAGGCUUCCGCAAUGGGGGAAACCCUGACGGAGCGACGCCGCGUGGGCGAUGAAGGCCUUCGGGUUGUAAAGCCCUUUCAGAUGGGAAGAAAGGUCGGGGAGUGAACAAUUCCCCGGCUGUGACGGUACCGUCAGAAGAAGCUCCGGCUAACUCCGUGCCAGCAGCCGCGGUAAUACGGGGGGAGCAAGCGUUGUUCGGAUUCAUUGGGCGUAAAGGGCGCGUAGGCGGCCUGGUAAGUCUGACGUGAAAUGUACCGGUUCAACCGGUGCGCUGUGUCGGAAACUGCCUGGCUUGAGGUCGAGGGAGGAAAGUGGAAUUCCUGGUGUAGCGGUGAAAUGCGUAGAUAUCAGGAGGAACACCCGUGGCGAAGGCGACUUUCUAUCUCGAUUCUGACGCUGAGGCGCGAAAGCUAGGGGAGCAAACGGGAUUAGAUACCCCGGUAGUCC